CGUGGCGAACGGGUGCGUAACACGUGGAUAACCUUCCUUCAGGUGGGGAAUAACCCCGCGAAAGCGGGGCUAAUACCGCAUAACAUGACGAUGGCGCGUGCCGUUGUCUUCAAAGCCGUAAGGCGCCAGAAGAGGGAUCCGCGGCCGAUUAGCUAGUUGGCGAGGUAAUGGCUCACCAAGGCAAUGAUCGGUAGCCGGACUGAGAGGUUGGCCGGCCACACUGGAACUGAGACACGGUCCAGACUCCUACGGGAGGCAGCAGUGGGGAAUCUUGCGCAAUGGGCGAAAGCCUGACGCAGCAACGCCGCGUGGGGGAUGAAGCUUCUCGGAGUGUAAACCCCUUUCGACCCGGACGAAUGCCCGCAAGGGUUUGACGGUACGGGUAUAAGAAGCCCCGGCUAACUACGUGCCAGCAGCCGCGGUAAAACGUAGGGGGCCAGCGUUGCUCGGAAUUACUGGGCGUAAAGGGUCCGUAGGCGGUGUGGCAAGUCGGAAGUGAAAUCUCUGGGCUUAACUCAGAGGCUGCUCCCGAAACUGCUGUGCUAGAGUGCGAGAGAGGCGAGUGGAAUUGCGGGUGUAGCGGUGAAAUGCGUAGAUAUCCGCAGGAACAUCCGAGGCGAAAGCGGCUCGCUGGAUCGCAACUGACGCUGAGGGACGAAAGCUAGGGGAGCAAACAGGAUUAGAUACCCUGGUAGUCCUAGCCCUAAACCAUCAGGACUUGGGGUUUGCCCUGUACGGGGCAAGUCCCGUAGCUAACGCGUUAAGUCCUGCGCCUGGGGAGUACGGUCGCAAGGCUGAAACUCAAAGGAAUUGACGGGGGCCCGCACAAGCGGUGGAACAUGUGGUUCAAUUCGA
rnacentral:rRNA from 1 species